AAUAUUGGACAAUGGGGGAAACCCUGAUGCAGCAACGCCGCGUGAAGGAUGAAGGUAUNCGGAUUNGNAACUUCUUUAGUCAGGGNAGAAUAAAUGACGGUAACUGAAGAGUAAGCCACGGCUAACUACGUGACAGAAGCCGCGGUAAUACGUAGGUGGCAAGCGUUGUCCGGAAUUAGUGGGUGUAAAGGGCGUGUAGGCGGGAAGGUAAGUCAGAUGUGAAAUCCCAGGGCUCAACCCAGGAGCUGCAUCUAAAACUAUGUUGCUUUAGUAUCGUAGAGGAAAGCGGAAUUCCUCGUGUAGCGGUGAAAUGCGUAGAUAUUAGAAGGAACACCAGUGGCGAAGGCGGCUUUCUGGACGAUAACUGACGCUGAGGCGCGAAAGCGUGGGGAGCAAACAGG
rnacentral:rRNA from 1 species